rnacentral:sRNA from 1 species
GUUGGGCAUGGUGGUGCAUGCCUAUAAUCCCAGUGACUUGGGAGACUGAGGUAGGAGGAUCAUAAGUUUGAGACCAGCCUCAG